AGUCACCUUGCUCGGUGGUUUGAGCCCCCACCAUAGACCAUAUCACCUCUUUUUUAGCCCAUGUCCAUCCUAAGGUCCAGCCAGGGCUCAUGAUGUGCCGGUACAUCUGAAAAUUGUUCAUUGUCACAACUGCCUGCAGUAUCUGAGAACUGCCAAGCUCACAAUGGUUGAUUACUUGUAUGUAUUGAAGAAAGAAAGAAAAAGAUGUGCAAGAGGAAUUGUCAAUGAGUUUGAGAUGGCUUACCUACUGGUGGUUAGACACCUAGAGGUUAUCUUCUAUCGCCCCCUUCCUUUUCUCUCAUGUUUAUAUUUCUGUUACGAGUUUUUCUGUAUCUUGAAGCAAUGACUUGGUGUGAAGUGAGAAGAAAAAAGGAGAGAAGAUAGGCGGGAGAUUUGAAGGCUGAACACAACAUUCCAACGGUUACCCUGACAGCCAAAGGUGACAGGCUACGUGAUGUUGCUAUUCAUGCUUACAUGGGAUAGUCUUGGAUGAAAUUGUUUUGCCAAACUUAACAUUGGACAUAGACAAAAAUCUUUGUCCCUCUGUCUCAAAUGCAGUUGCAAUCAUAGAACUAUAUCUAUAGUUUCUAGACCUUUCUUUGAUUAUAAAGGCAUCAUCGAAGAUAUGGGAAUGGGCUUAUGAUACUGCAAAACCUAUACAAGGGCAUUGAGAAAAAAAUAGUUGCAGAGGGCAUUUUGGUCAUCUCGAGUGACGGUGUUUGAGUACAAUUUUCCUAAGUUCAUACUCGACCUAUUGAUUAAUCAGGCAAGUUUUCUCUGAGUUGUGUUUUGAUUUUAGCCCACGAAGAUAAAUAUUUCCCAACUAAAACUCCCCACAGAAAACGAAUUACUGGACUCCUUAAAAUCACUAGCAUUUUCUCUUGGACCAUGGAUAUGGGAAAAAAAUAUUUAUCCCUUUAUUUGGAAUUACAAUCUUGCUCUAUAAUUAAAAAAAGAGAGAAGACAAUUGUCGUAUUGUUCAGAGGAGUGAAAUACUCUGGUCUUCUUCAAUACUCUGCAACCUUUUGUAGUUGUGAUACUUUUAUGAAGGUUAAGAAUGGCUCCAUUUGGUAUAUAAACUGCAACAUCGUGUGGAGUAUAUUUUGUGUUUGGAAGUGACUGUGAAUGUGAUGUAGAAUAAAAAAAUCAAGUAGUCUUAAUAGUGUA